UCCCUGGUGGCUCAGAUGGUGAAGAAUCUGCUCACAAUGCAGGAGAUCCAGGUUCAAUUCCUGGAUUGGGAA
rnacentral:tRNA from 1 species